ACAAUUAAGAAGCAUAUCUUUUAUUUGAUUUACAUUCACAUAGACAUAAGUACGAUGGUCUUGUCUUGAACACAACAUCAUAAGUAACAUAAAGCAUUGAAGUGCAAGAGCAAAGACUACUGAUUCAUUGCUAGGAAGUUGUAAACAUGACAAUGCAAGAAAACACAAAGCAGAAUCUCUUAUUAUUUAAGCAGUAAUAAGAUAAGAGAGGAUAUUGCAUGUUCUAGGCAUGGUUGUUGUCCUCCACUGGAGGAUACUUCCCAUAAGGUGGUUUCUUGUAUGGUGGCUUUUCGUAUGGUGGCUUGUAGUAAGGUGGUUUUGGCUUGUAAAUAGGAGGCUUGUAAAUUGGAGGCUUGUAAAUUGGAGGCUUGUAAUAGAUGGGAGGCUUGUAAAUGGGAGGCUUCUUGAUUGGUUUGUAAUAAGUAGCAAAACCUUGAGGAAUGAGGAUUAGGGCAGCAAGAACAAACACCAGAAAGCUUGAAAAGGAAGCCAUGUUAAAGAUUGGUGUGCAUAACAGACUGAGUAAUGUGUUCAUAUAUAUAGUAGUUAGGAGGGGUCAUUGUAGGUGUAAGGUCUAAAUCUAGGUCAUUAAUGAUUUGCUUUGUCAUAUUAUGGUAUUUGCCAAAGUUCGGUGUGAUUAUUCAAAAUUGAUUUAGAAAUUAUACAUUGAUAUACACAAAUAUUUUACAUUCAUUUAAUACUUGUUAUUUUUUACUCAAUUGUGCUAAAAAAUAUUUUUUAUAGUAAUUAAAAUCCAUGAGAUAUAAAAAAUGAAGCAGUGACACUAUUAUAGAUAUGAAAAGUUUUUUUAUUUGGAUUGGACUUAGAACUGAUGUAAAAAGUGGCUCAGUAACAAAAUUGUAAUAAAUUACAAUUUUUUUAUACCAAUUACACUCAUAAUUGAAUAGAAAGUCGAUUUUCUAUACUAGUUAGACUUAGAACCGAUAUAGAAAGUGUGGUGGUAACAAAACUAUAAUAUUAAACAAACUUUUCUAUAUUCAUUGCAAUCAGAACAAAUAUAGAAAGUUGUUUUUCUAUCCUGGUUAGUCAAUAUAACCGGGAUAUAAUAUUUAAUAUUCAUCUCCUUCUUCUUUUUGCGCUUCAAUUUCGCAAAACUCUUUUUCUUGUUCUCUCUAUGCUUCACCUUCAUUACUUUUCGCUCUCUCUGUGCUUGGCUUCCAUUCAUUCUUGGUCUCUCUACGUUUCCAAUAGUUCACUAAAGUCGCUUGUGCUAUCGUUUGUGGUUGUUGUUUUUGUCAUCGCUGUGGUCGUUGUUUGUUGUCGAUUUUUUAGUCGCGGUGGUUGUUGAAGUUAUCACUGUUGUAGGUCAAGUUGUGGUUCAUCUUUGUCAUCAAUGGUUGGUAUUGCAGUGCCUAUUUUCAUGGAGGUUGGAGUCGUUGUUGUGGUGUCAUUGUUAUCACUGCAUUUUUUCUUCCUCUUGCGUUGAAGCUUUCUUGGUUGCGUUGUUGGUGUUGUAGUAGUGUGGUGAGUAACACUAAAGCUUCCUUGUGUGGUAUGGUAGGUCGUUGCACGUGGUGUUUUUUUGAUCGUUUUGUUGUGGUUCUUGGCAAAUUUUAAACCUUAAUUUACUAUUGUUGAGGAUGUUGUGUUUUGACGUAUUUAUUGUUACAUUGCAUUCGUUGGGAGGAAAAUUUAAUAUUGUGAGGUUUUCCAUUUUUUGGAGCUUUCCAUGUUUGUGUUAUUGCAUUCAAUUGGUGUGAUUACUCUUUUGUGUUAGAAUUUAUGAGAAAAAAGUGAGGUAUAAAAAUCAAUAGGUUUGAAUCUCUACAAAUGAUGAGGCUGCAAGUGAGUAGAUUUUUGGUGGUGAUCAAAAUCACCAAAUAAGUUGUAGGCAAAAGAAAAAUGGAGAUCAAUACGAGUCCUAAUUAGAAAGACUAUUUGGGAAUGAGAUAUCAAUCUCUUAAAUACGUUGAAGUGAAGCGUAUUGAACUAAAUCCAUUGAUUAAUUCUUUAUGUUGUGGUUUGGUAUGACUAAGUUCACAUAUUGGACUCAUGUUUAACUGUUUCUUAGAUCUACCUAAAAGUAGAGGUGUUGGUUUUUACAUAUAAUAAUGGAUAGGUGUUGAAUAAAUUUUAUACGCAUAACAAAUGAAUAUGGGAGCAGAGUAGAACAAUUUCUUGAGUUUGCAAAGACAAGUGUUCUAGACAAUAACAAAAGAUUUUAUUGCUCAUGUGUUAAUUGUUUGAAUGGAUGAAAACUAUCAACUGAAGUUCUUUGGGAGCAUGUUGUUCUCCUAAAGUUACACAAAAUGGACAUGACAUAGUGAAUUAAUAGACACACCUAGUGCAUCCAGAAUGCACUAAGUAUACUUUAUUGUCAAUGGUAUCAAAACACUUUGGAGUCAUAUUAUAUGCAUUUGGAGUCAUAUAAUAUGCAUUUGCAUUCUUAAGAGAAGAUUCUCGUGAUUCUUGGAUUAUAACACUGAUUCUUAUCAAAGAUUAACAUCUUUCUGGAGAACUUUCACUCGACUUAUUAAUCUGCUAGAUUGUGGCUUCCCUAUCCUUGUCUCAUUCUGCAUUCUUCUAUGAUUUAUUCAAGAGAUAGUCCUCUAUUAUACCUUUUUUUCUUAAAAAGAAUUUUUCCUCAAAUUUGUAUAACUUAAAUAUUCCUUAUCAUUUUAAGAAGUUAGAACAACUAGAAAAUGAGGUUGUGGUCAUAUUAUGCCUAUUAGAUAUGUACUUUACACACACGCAGACAAGGACACACACACACAGACUCACAAAUACACAGUCACACACACAAACACACACACACACACAUAAACACACACACACACACAUACAUAAAUGGACAUGCGCGCGCACACACAAAGACACACACACCCAGAAACACACAUACAUAGACACACACACACCCACAAACACACAUACAUAGACACACACACACACACAAACACAAACACACAUACACACAAACAUAGACACACACACCCACAAACACACAUACACACAAACAUAGACACACACUCCCACAAACACAAACAUAAACAUACACACAAACACACACACACACACACAAACAAAUUGACAUACAGAUAGACACAUACAGACACACAAGAAGUCAUCCCAAAAGAAGUCAUCCCCUUCUUAAGUGCUCAUAAAUAUAUUGUUAAAAGAAAGAAAUAAUCCACGAAUACUUCAGAAGUUGGUUAUUAAUGAGCACAACAAAACCUUUUUAAAGUGGUUCAAACAACAUGUUCAAGCUUACCAUACAACCUCUGACACAUUAAAUUGAAUACCAAGUGAACCAAACUUUGAUGUCAUAUGUUGGAGUGGGUAUGAUAUGAAAAAUUAUACAUUUCAUACAAAGAAAAUGAAAAAAAAAACACCACUCACAAUAAUGGAGUAAUAGUUGUGGUUGAGUCAAUGCAUUUCUUGAGUUCAAAGGAUAAAAAUCCUUUUAUGGCAUCAAUGUGCUACUUUCGUGUUAUGGAAGAUAUUUGGGUGAUAGAUUACACAAGUUUCAGAGUACUUAUUUUUAAAUGGGUUGAUUGUAAUAUUGGCAUAAGGACCAAUGAUCUAAGUUUUACAUUGUGCAGAUAUUACAAUUCUUGUUGCUUUCUUGAUGCCUUGGAGAUUUCUUGAGACCUUUGAAUGUUUCUUGUUGUGUACUUGUACUUAAACUCAAUGCUUUGUUAGAAUAUUGCAAAUGAAAUUCGUAAUGAGACAGGUUUCAAUAUAGAUAUAUAUAGGAUAUGACAUUCUGGUGUAGUUUAAUUGAUUAGAUAAAAACCUUAAUCGAUUAAGCCGAAGUUUAUGUUUCAAUGACAUUAUGGUGCAGUUUAAUCGAUUAGGUAAAACCUUAAUUGAUUAGGCCAAAGUUUCUGUUUUAAUCGAUUAGGUUAUUAAUGUUAUCAAUUAAAACAGACAAUUUUGUCAUUUUUUUCUUCUUAUGAGUUCUGACAUGCUUUAACUGAUUGCUAACUAACAUAAUGGAUUAAUAGCAUCAAAAUUGCAGAUUGUAAACUGUCUAACCCAGUUACAUUCAUCUAUACAUGAUAUAUGUAUCUAACAUGAUUUUCCUAUGAUUUUAAACAUUGAUCCAUCAAGAAAGAACAUAUGAUUAAUUCAUCAUCAAAAACAUUUUACCAAAUUUAGAAGGGAAAAGCUCCCCCUUUCAACACUAACCGGUAUAAAAAGUUACUUUUUAUAUACAAAUUUAUCUCUUUCCUAAUAAACUUUUUAUAUCGGUUUCAGAUUCAGUAUAAAAAGUCAAAUACUUUCUAUACCGAUUCAAAAACUGGUAUAAAUUUUUUUUAACUCAUAUAAAAAAGCUUUUCUGAUAUAGUGACUCUUCCUUUUCUUUUUAAAAUAUAAAAGUUUAUGUUUUUAAGACUAUUUUAAUCUUAUAAUAUGUGUCAAAUGAAUAUAAAUGUAUCUUAUCCUACUAUGACUUGAUUUAGACCCUUUAGUCUUGUGUGGCAUUGUUGCAAAUCAAGAAUCUCAACAAAAUCUAUAUAUUUAUCCAUAAAGAUCUCUAAAGAAAUAUAUAAAAAAGGAAAACCCAAAAAUUAAUUUUUUUAUAAAUUACAAUAAUUUAUACGAGUUAGAAAUAAAAAAAAAAAUUGGUAACAAAGUUUUUUCAAUCAGUUUAAUCACUAAUUUCAUUUUUCGUAUUUUUUGUUUUAAAAGUUCUUGAAGAAAGAACUCGUACAAGAUUAAAUAUAUUUUUAAAAUGUAAAUUAAUUUAUGUAUACUAUACACAUAUAUACAGACUAUAUUACAUUUUGAUUUAUAUUUUAAUGAUAAAUUAAAAGUAUUAUUUUAAUUUAUUUAAAUACGACUACUAAUUUAAAUUCAAACAGAAAAAAUUAAAUAUAGUGGUGUUCCUUUCAAAUUAAAUUGAAACAUUCGAAACUUUUAAAUAUUAUUAAAAAUAAAAUAAUAUAUACGUUAAAAGAAGUUCUAUGAAUGUUUCUAAUCCAUAGAAUUUUAUAUGGUUUAUGAGUUGUUUUUAUCUUGUGAAUUUUUUUAAUAAAGGAUUUAUUUCAGCUGUCAGUUUUUUUAAUCCAAAUUCAUAUGGUGAAAUCCUAUAAAAUAAUACUAUAAAAUGCACUAAGACGUAUCUAAUUAACCAUAAACAUAAAGGUCUUUUUAUUCAUAAUUUUGUAGUACAAUUAAGAAGCAUAUUUUUUAUUUGAUUUACAUUCACAUAGACAUAAGUCUGAUGGUCUUGUCUUGAACACAACAUCAUAACUUACACAAAGCAUUGAAGUGAGCAAAGAAUACUGAUUCAUUCAUUGCUAGGAAGUUGUAAACAUGACAAUGCAAGAAAACACAAAGCAGAUUCUCUUAUUAUUUAAGCAGUAGUAAGAUAAGAGAGGAUGUUGUUGCAUGUUCUAGGCAUGGUUGUUGUCUUCCACUGGAGGGUACUUUCCAUAAGGUGGUUUCUUCUUGUAUGGUGGCUUUUUGUAUGGUGGUUUGUAGAAAGGUGGUUUUGGCUUGUAAAUGGGAUGCUUAUAAAUAGGAGGCUUGUAAAUUGGAUGCUUCUUGAUUGGUUUGUAAUAAGUAGCAAAACCUUGAGGAAUGAGAAUUAGGGCAGCAAGAAGUAACACCAGAAAGCUUGAAAAGGAAGCCAUUUUUAGGGUUGGUGUGUUAGCAGACUGAGUAAUAUGUUAGUAUAUAUAGUAGUAAGGAAGUUCAAUGUAUUAUGUAGGUGUAAUGUCUCAAUCUAGGUCAUUAAUGAUUUGCUUUGUCACACUUUGAUAUUUGCCAAAGUUUGGUGUGAUUAUUCAUCAUUGAUUUAGACCCUUUGGUCCCA
rnacentral:lncRNA from 1 species